UACGUAGGGGGCAAGCGUUGUCCGGAUUCAUUGGGCGUAAAGAGCGUGUAGGCGGCCAGAUAAGUCCGCUGUGAAAUCUCGAGGCUCAACUUCGAGCUGUCGGUGGAAACUGUCUGGCUAGAGUCCGGAAGAGGAGAAUGGAAUUCCUGGUGUAGCGGUGAAAUGCGCAGAUAUCAGGAAGAACACCCGUGGCGAAGGCGGUUCUCUGGGACGGUACUGACGCUGAGACGCGAAAGCGUGGGGAGCGAGCAGG
rnacentral:rRNA from 1 species